CUGUCCAGCUCCAGCCCGACGCGCAGUCUUCUUUCGACUCUCGCCUGCCUUGCACCGUCGCUGCCCCGCACACACACGCACCCCCUAUCUCUCUGUUGUUCAUUUCCCAUGUUGUACUAAAAACUUAUGUGUCAAUGAGGAAGAAAGUCGUCGCGUUUAAUGUCACUGAGAAAUUUCUCCCCACUGUUCGGUUGACCAAAAAUUUGAGCACCAAAAAGGGCAGCCGUCGAGGUAACGCAGGAAACCGUCUGGAAUUUACAGUGCUAACCCAGCUCCAGCACGUCCCGUAGAUUCGCACGCCCAGCAUUCUCCGGACGGUUACUAGUGGUCACAUUUACGUUCACACGCUUCACUACCCGUCACCAUGGUUCAGGAAGUCCAGAAGUCCAGCUGCUUCGCCGUCCGCGUCAGCGAGACGAGAGACCAGGCUGCCAAGCGCGCGGGGUACGACGCGGUGCGCCGCGCCGAGGCCGAGCGCCAGCAGCGCCAGCAGCUCGAGAAGGAGAAGCAGCAGGCGAAGAAGGAUCACGGCUCCUGGGGCCCCGUGUUCAAGAACCGCCAGCACUUUAACUCGCUCCACAUGUGCUAGGACACGGCAGCCCCCCGACGCAAAACAUUUAAAAAAAAAAAAAUAUUGUUUGUGUUAAAAUAAGAAAAACGAUGUUGCGAAAAGGUAAAGCUGCAUCGGACGACUUUAUUAUGAUAUCUUGUUACAGCCCCAACGACUGAAGUUUUUGUGUUAUUUGAUUAACUUUUUACAUUUGACUGAUUCUUUCCUGUGCCAUGUGAAACCAGAGAUUAUUUAAUUGUUUUUGAACAAGCUUCUUUCAAUGCUAAGGUUUUAUGAUCCGAUUUGAGCGCAAAGAAAAUCCUCAUAAUUUAUACAAAAAAAAGGGAUUGGUGUAAAAAUGUCAAACCGCUUUCGUUGCCUUCAAAAUUAAGUCCUUUUCGUGACCUUUUUUUUGCAUUCUUUAAUUUUGUAUUUUAAAAUUGUGAAUGUGAAUGUGACCACUAGUCACGCUGGUUCCCGCCGGGAACCAAUAAUUAUGCUAUUGUUAACGUUUAUCGCUUUUGGUGUGGGUCACUCUGCUUGUUCGCAUUUUGAAUUCGAAUAAAACAUGUUUGAAACUGGAA